rnacentral:rRNA from 1 species
UACAGAGGUCUCGAGCGUUAAUCGGAAUCACUGGGCUUAAAGGGUGCGUAGGCGGUUCCGUAAGUGCCUUGUGAAAUCCCAUGGCUCAACCAUGGAAUUGCUCGGUAGACUGCGGAACUUGAGGUCGGUAGGGGUCGCUGGAACUCUAGGUGGAGCGGUGAAAUGCGUAGAUAUCUAGAGGAACGCCAAAGGUGAAGACAGGCGACUGGGCCGAUUCUGACGCUGAGGCACGAGAGCGUGGGGAGCGAACGGG